rnacentral:rRNA from 1 species
UACGUAGGGCGCAAGCGUUAAUCGGAAUUACUGGGCGUAAAGCGUGCGCAGGCGGUUUUGUAAGUCUGACGUGAAAUCCCCGGGCUCAACCUGGGAAUUGCGUUGGAGACUGCAAGGCUAGAAUCUGGCAGAGGGGGGGAGAAUUCCACGUGUAGCAGUGAAAUGCGUAGAGAUGUGGAGGAACACCGAUGGCGAAGGCAGCCCCCUGGGUCAAGAUUGACGCUCAUGCACGAAAGCGUGGGGAGCAAACAGG